UUCCCACAGCCCCACCAGGAAGCAACGUGCCUGCAGCCCUGAGCCGGAUGACCUGGGGACCAGCAGGGCAGCCAUGGUGAGGAGAGUGAGGAUGCGGGGGCCGCUCCUGCCAAGAAGGCCCCGGCCAGAUAAGACAAGCCCAAGACGCUGCCCUUCUUGCUGCUGGGCAGUUGGUCAGUAUCCAGAGCAACGAGGCUGUGGCCCUACUCAAGACUCAUGGCCUGUAACAUGUCCAUGGGCUUUGGUGAGAGUUGGAAGAAGCACCUCAAUGGAAUUCGGGAAACGUUAUUUUAUCAAGAUAAAAGGAUUUGUCGCAGAAGAAAGGAAACAUUACACUGUUUAUCCACCCCCACACUAAGUCUUCACCUGGACCCAGAUGUGUGACAUAAGAGAUGUGAAGGUUGUCAUCCCAGGACAGGACCCAUAUUAGAGACCGAAUCAAGUUCAUGGGCUGCUUUAGUGUUCAAAGACCUGUUCCACCUCUGCCUGGUUUGGAAAACAUUUAUAAAGAGCCAUCUACAGAUAUGGUUUUAUUCAUCCUGGUCAUGGAGAUUUAUCUGGGUGGGCCAAAUAAGGUGUUCUCCUACUCCAGGCUGUCCUCACUGUUCUGCCCCAUCAAGCCAAUUUUCAUAAGGAAAGAGGAGGCUGGGAGCAAUUUACCAAUGCGGUUGUGUCCUGGCUAAAUCAGAACUCGAAUGGCCUUGUCUUUCUGCUCUGGGGCUGUUAUGCUAAGAAGAAGGGCAGUGCCAUCCACAGGAAGCAGCACCAUGUGCUGCAGAUGGCUCAUUCCUUCCCGUGUACAGAGGGUUCUUUGGAUGUAGACAAUUUUCUAAGACCAAUGAGCUCCUGCAGAUGUCUAGCAAGAAGCCCACUGACUGGAAGGAGCUAUGA
rnacentral:lncRNA from 1 species